CCUACGGGUGGCAGCAGUCGAGAAUCAUUCACAAUGGGGGAAACCCUGAUGGUGCGACGCCGCGUGGGGGAAUGAAGGUCUUCGGACUGUAAACCCCUGUCAUGUGGGAGCAAAUUAAAAAGAUAGUACCACAAGAGGAAGAGACGGCUAACUCUGUGCCAGCAGCCGCGGUAAUACAGAGGUCUCAAGCGUUGUUCGGAAUCACUGGGCGUAAAGCGUGCGUAGGCUGUUUCGUAAGUCGUGUGUGAAAGGUGCGGGCUCAACCCGCGGACGGCACAUGAUACUGCGAGACUAGAGUAAUGGAGGGGGAACCGGAAUUCUCGGUGUAGCAGUGAAAUGCGUAGAUAUCGAGAGGAACACUCGUGGCGAAGGCGGGUUCCUGGACAUUAACUGACGCUGAGGCACGAAGGCCAGGGGAGCGAAAGGGAUUAGAUACCCCUGUAGUC
rnacentral:rRNA from 1 species